CGCGACCCCAGGUCAGGCGGGGCUACCCGCUGAGUUUAAGCAUAUCAAUAAGCGGAGGAAAAGAAACUAAUCGAGGAUACCCCUAGUAACGGCGAGCGAACCGGGGAAAUUCAAG
rnacentral:rRNA from 1 species